GGAGACGUGGGUGAGUGGCUGAAACCAGUUCCCUGCUAAGGAACCAUAGGAGUAAUCCUAUCGAGGGUUCGAAUCCCUCCGUCUCCGCCA
rnacentral:tRNA from 4 species